rnacentral:lncRNA from 1 species
CGCUCGUACCAAAUUGAUCCGGCAGCGUUUACAUCGUGCGUACUAAAUAUUUAGUACAAAUUUGAUACGAAUAUGGUACCUGAUACGCGUAUCAAAUGCACGAUGUAAACUAAGCCUGUGAUAGCGAGUUUCAUAGACAGCAAGAGCGCCACGCUGUACCAUGCGUCACGCUACGUCAUGGAGUCAUGCUUCUAUUUAACGAAACGCGCAAGAAUUAAAACACUGGUGCUUAAUUAAAAUGAAAUUUAAUUAAUAAAAUAAAAUAAAAUUAAAUUUGCAAAAUAGAAGGAGCAAAUAUAAAUAAAAAAGAUUUAAUAUUAACAACUUUGGCACAAUACGCAAACUAAUAGAAUCAAUUCACAGCAAGUUACAAAAAUAUUUGUCCUUUUUAAUUAAAAAAGUUUAAUUUUUACAAAUUGAGAGUAAAGCCAAAAUAAAAAUUUAGUUUCUCAGAAAAUUAACGACGCGCAAAAGUUUUGGUUCUGAAUUAUGUACGUGUCAAAAUUGUUACGUAUUUGUCAACUUGACGUACAUCGUUAUUCAUUUUUACACAACAUAAUUCUCAUGUUCCUAUCCACAUGACUGCAAAAUCUUCCUAUAUGGACACAUAUAAGAAGAUUUUGUAGUCAUGUGCAUUGCAGGAAGUUUAACAACAACAAAAAUUGAUUAUUGUUCAUAAUCACGUUUAUUUUACGUGUCAAAAUAUUUGCAAAUUUAAUUUUUCUUUAAUUUUUGAUUAAAAUGAUAUUCUUUAUAUAGCGAUAUUGUUUUACACAUCAGAAAAUCAGCUUCGAAAUUAAAUUAAACGUAUAGGGGAAACCGGGGCUAUUUGUCUAGGGGGGGCUAUGUGUCUACAGUAUUGUUAUUUCAAGUGUUAGUAGGUAAAUGUCUCUAGCAUUUUGUCUUGUGAUAAUAAAAGAUAUAGAUAGGGGAUUCAGAAGUGAUACAGACGCUAUAUACGCGCUGAAAGAAAAAGCGAAAACAUUAACUUUUUUUGAUGGUCGAAAAGUUUAUUGUGUGGCAAUAGUUUAACUCCAAUUAAGGUAAAUAAUUUACAAUAUUAUUAAUUAAUAAAUAUUUAACAGAUAUGAACAGCGUCAAAUCUUAAUUCCGCUUAACCUAUACUGAAAAAAAGUAAUAUAUUCAAUAAGAUAUGUAGUUACGAGCUGCCAACUGCAGAUAUACUCAAUAAUAUAUGCUAUUGCAGUAUCAACAUUGUACUUGCAUUAACAGCAAAUAUUAUUGUAUUAAAUAUUUUAUGUAGUUGGCAGCCCACAAUUACAUAUGUUAUUGGUUGUAUUACUUUUUUUCUGUGUAUAAUUUGCAAUAUGCUAAAGAUUGAAAAACAGUCGGGGCUAUCUGUGUCAUUUUUAGCGGAGCAAUGUGUCCACACAUGGAAAUUUGUUUUUUUAUAGAUAAUGGCGCGUAACUACUAAAGGAAGACGGAUUAGGUAUUUGUACCCAAUAAAGUUAUACUUAGGACGAUAAAAGAAAUAAAAAUUGAACGAAAAUCUAAUCGCAAAACGGCACUACAGUUUGGAAUAAAUGUUCGGACUCUCACUCGCUACUGCAAAAAAGUGACCUACGAGCAGUUACUUGAUCCUGCGAUUAAGAGGGGCAAGUCAUGUAAAUCGAAAUUUUUUAGCAAUUUUUUUUUCUUGCUUAAAUUUAUAGGAAAUUUUCCGUAGAAUAUGAAAAAAAAUAGUAGAAACCGAUUUGAGAGUUCCUUCUGUUAUUUUUGUCGAAAAGUGAACGGUCGAAUUGGGCGGAGCACUUAUAUAGACGAGUCGGAAACUCAGUCUUUUGAUCCCUCUGUAAUAAAUGUUAACCUGGCUGUGUUAGAAUAAUGUUCGAAAAACAGGAAGAUCUGCUCUAUGACCUGGAAUCGCAGAUUAGCAAAAAACUGCGAUGAAUACAAGCAGCGCUACAUUGCACGCCGACAAGUGACUUCAACGUCGACGCAUUAGAUUUACAUUAUUAUUAUUUAUAAAAUACAUAUUAUUUUUCUGUCAAAAAAUAUUUUUUUAGUAGUUCAAUAUUACAAUAACAUACCCUGAAAAUUUCAAAAGAAUUGGUUGUAUAAUUUCCUCAAACAAAAUUCCAAAAAAUCACUCAAUUUUUAGCGCGUUACAUGACUUGCCCCCCUUAAAGAAUCGUCACCAAAUUUUUAUUUUAAAAAUAUAUGUCAAGUAAAUAUAUUGAGUGUGUCUUAAUUUAUUUAGUAGUAUUUUCUAUUUUAAUAUGAAGUAAUUUUUUUAAAUUAUUAAAAUAAAUAAAUAUUAAAUAAAUAAAUAAAUAUUAAAUAAAUAAGUAAAUAUUAAAUAAGUAAUAGAUAAUAAAUAAGUAUUAAUUUAUUUUCUGCAGAUUUUUAAUGCUGAACAAGAAUUAAAUCUUGUUGAUUAUAUUUUACGAGCAAAUGCAAUUUAUUUUGGACUUACACCGAGGGAAGUACGACAAGUGGUCUACACGUACGCAAAAUUUCUCUAAGUUAAGAUACCACUAUCUUGGGCUGAAAAUAAACGGGCUGGUGUCGAUUGAUUUUCGUCUUUUUUAAAAAGACAUCCAACUUUAUCUAUUCGUAUUUCGGAAGUAACGAAUCGCGAGAGCAUCAGCGUUUAAUCCAACCACUGUUAAAAGAUUUUUUGAAAAUUUAAAGAAAAUCCGAGACGAACAUCAGUUUUGUACCCGCUGAUAUUUGGAAUUGUGACGAGACUGGAGUCACAGCGGUCUAAAAACCAAGGUUGUCGGUAAAAAAUGUGAACGUCAGACUGGUCGAAUAACUUUGGGUGAGCAAGGUAAACUUGUCACCUGAUCGUCGGAAAUGCUAUUGGCCAUUCGACACUAUAUUUUAUUUUUCCUCGAGUUAAAUACGUCAGUUUUUUGGUAGAAAAUGGACCAGUAAGCAGUGCUGGUGGCGCGAACCCUAGCGGUUGGAUGAUGGAGGAUAUCUUUGUGGAAUUUUUCAAGCACUUUGCUGUGUACAGUAGAUGCUCAAGGAAAAGCCGAUCCUUUUGCUAUUAGACAAUUACUUAUCGUACAUAAGUGUUGCAGCAAUAGAUUUUGCGCGUGAAAAUGGCACAAUAAUGUUGUCCCCUACACUGUAGUAACAAAAUGCAGCCGUUAGAUGUGUCUGUGUACGGAUUUUUUUAAAAAAGAUUUUUUAUAAUACCGCAUGUGAUAAUUGGAUCACAAAUAAUCCUGGAAAAAUGAUGACGUACUAUCAUAUCCCAGGGAUCGUUAAAACAGUUAUUGCAGUGUCAAUUACACCAAAAAACAUUGUUGCGGGAUUUGAAAAGACAGGAAUCCAUCGUAUGGUUUAAUUCAGAAAUAUUCGACGAAUCGAAUUUUUUGCCAGUCAGCGUAACUGACAGGUCUAUACCAAUCGACAAAACAGAUCCAGUAGCCGUUGAAAGCAAUGAGUUGGUUACUAACGAUACUGAAUUACAUGCUCUUACAAAAUUGGCACCUCUUCCUGACUAGCAGCAAACCGAACUAGCAUUGCCAGUAACUACACCAGAACCAAGUUCGCAAUCCUCCACUAGUAAACAGUCACCUAGUUCGCCCUCUUCAAAAAGCAUCGCCACGCAAAAACGCUAAGAAAAAAUCCCACCAAGUAAUGAGCGUUGUGUUAACCUCGUUAUUCUCCAAAAAAGCUGCUGAAGAAAAAGCAAAGGUCUCAAAUAAAAAAAAAACGGAUUAAAGAAUUGAGGGAACAAAAAAAAACUCAUUACAUUGAUUUUGCAACAGGCUCAAAUUUAGUCUGGUGCUACCAGAUAUAAAGAAAAAUCGGUUUCAUGCAGGAAUCCUGCCAGAAAAUCAGCACAAAACAUUUAUAUUUGUUCUGAUUUAAUAAUAAAUAAUAUUAUAAAUAAAUAUAAAAAUUAAUAUAAAUAAUGUGUUUUUUAUUAUGUGGACAGAUAGUUCCUCGAGCGUAGACAAAUGGCUCCGUGUACGGGGCCAUCUGUCCACGCUCGACUUGCCUACUUUAAAAAUUCACUUCUUUAAAACGUUAAAAGAUUAACGAUUCUAAUUGCGUCCUUUUUAAUAGAAAAAUUGAAAGUUUAUAUCAUUAAAAUUUUAGCCAAAUAUCUUUAUUAGUUUUUUAAUAAAUUUGAAAAAAGUUUAAAUUUUAGACAGAUAACCCCGGUCUCUUCUAAUACAAUUUUCAAACACGUGCGCGCGUGCACGAAUACACGCGUAUAAAACGGAAAAGUAAUCUAUUAAUAUCACAACCACAAAAUUUUAUUAAAAAAUAAUUUAUAAAAUACUUUCAAAGAAAUUAUUAGCGAGAAAAAUAUUAAUGUAAAUUCGAAAAAAAAUUAAAAAAAGAAGAUUCAGAAACAAAUAGUUUACAGUUGUAAAUGCUUGUAAAUUAUUAUGUGUCGUAAGUAAUUUCAAUAAAGGAAAUGGACAUGAAUGAAUCUAUCAAAGAAUUUUAAUUGCUUCACUGGUGCUGCAUAUAUCUACGGAAAAAA